AGGGGCUGAGAUUUGCCUUUUUUUCCUUCUCGCUGCUUGAAUUUACUGCAACUCGAUUUGACAAGAUACUCUCAAUAAAAACGUGCCACUCUCUCACGGUGUGUUAGUUUUGUUAGAAGUAUUCAGCCUGCCACCGAACAGAUCCCAUGAUGGAUUUUGGUUCGGGUUUAUGUGCGGGCGAUUCAAUAUUUUUAUUUAUUCUUCCUUUUACUGGCCGUUUUAAAAGGGGAUAAUUCAAGAAAAAAUCCCUAAGUGGCAUCCUGUAAAGAAAAGAAGAAAACAGGGGUGGAUGCGCUGCAAUAUUUUCAUCUGGAGGUGAAUGCAGCCGCCUGUGCUCGACAGAAAAAUGCUGGCAACAAUAAUCCCCACCUCCGGCAGAUGAUUUCUAAGCCAGGUGAAAACCCACUUCGAACCCAAUUGUUGCAGCGUCUCGCAGACGAUUCUGUUCCUGGAAGACUUUUGGAAAGCGAAGGCUGAGCCUUGCACCCCUGGCAGCGCGGAGGCUGCGCGUCCUUCAGAAUUGUUGGCAAAACUCGCAAAAUAGCCGGCAGCACUUCGGUAUCCCUGUUUGUUUCGUGUCAAAAUGCAGGAGGACGGAGAAAGAGGAGGCUCUCGGGGCGUGGGAGAGAAGACAAAUGACUUUAAUAAGAAUAUCUUUUUUAAUUCAGCUGGAAGAAUAAAUGAUGAGAGUAUUGCUGAAAGUACAUUCAUUGAUUGACAAUAAACAAUUGCAUUAAAUAUUCAAUAUGCCACUCUUACUUAAUAAAUAUUUAACAAAACAUUAAAGGAGGUUUUCGAAUAUUUAUUAGACAUUGACUUAAUUCAUUUGUUCUAUUCUUUGAUAUACGACUAAUUCGAUAUCAAAAGUCAUUAAGGCAGGCCUGCUUUAACUUUAAAGUUUGAAACUUUACACGAUCCCCCGCACCCUGUCAUUCUUAAAUGGUAUAUUCUCUAUAAACCGUGCCAACCUGCUUGAUGUAUAGUUGAUGUGCACAUAGAGAUCAACAUAAUUAGCGUAUGUUAGAAGCUUGUUAAUUAGCACCAACCCCCU
rnacentral:lncRNA from 1 species